GGUCUCUUUCCUGUCCUGCCAUGGUAAAGAAGUGCUUAUUUCCCCUUCGCUUUCCACCACGAAUAUUUUUCCUGAGGCCUCCCAGUCAUGCUUCCUGUUUUGCCUGCAGAACUGCAUUUAUGAAGUAGGGACCUGGAAUUGAAGAGACUCCUAAAGGAGAGACAGAAGUUUGAAAGAGCAAGAAGAGUGGAUGUGGAUCCAGACAGAAAAAGAGAACAGCAAAUAUUUGAAAGAGCUUAAGACGUACUCCUCAAGGUUGAAGAACUCACUUUGGCAUUUCUUGUAAGAUGGUUCUGGUGGUGAGGAAUUAUCUGAUCUUUUUGUUUAUCUGAGAAAAAACUCAAUCUGUCUUUCAUAUUUGAAGUAUAGCUUUGUUGGAUACAUUAAUCUUCUAUGGCAGUUUUAUUUUUUAUUAUUCCCAGCAUGUUGAAAAUGUCAUCCCAAUUCCUCCUGCUUUGUAUGGUUUCUGUUGAGAAGUCUGUUUCCAGAUAAAUUGGAGCUCCUUUGUAUGUUAUUUGUUUCUCUUCUCUAACUGCUUUUAGAAUCCUCUCUUUAUCCUUGAACUUUGGGAGUUUCAUUAUUAUAUGUAUUAUGGUAGUCUUAUUUGGGUCAAACUCUUUGGUAUUCUCUCACUUCCCUAUGCCUGGAUAUUUAUCUUUUUCUCAAGUUUUGGAAAACUUCCUGUUAUUUUUUGAAUAAACUUUCUCUCCAUUGCUCUUGCUCACCUGAACAAUUGUUCUUAGAUCUAUUUUGUUUUUUGAGAUAUUUUCUAUAUCUUUUAGGUGAUACUUCUUCUUUCUCAUUCUGCUUUUCCACCUUUGUGUGUUUUUAAAAAUCCUCUCUUUGAGCUCACUAAUUAUUUUCCUCUGCUUGAUCCAUUUUGCUGUUGAGAGCUUCUAGUGAUUUUUUUCUUUAUGCAAAUGUAUUUAUCAGUUCCAAGGUUUUUGAUUGACUUUUUAAUUAUUUCAAUCUCUAGUUAAUUUUUCCAAUAAAUUUCUGAAUUGUUUUUCCUUUUCUGUGUUAUUUUGGACACCACUAAGUUUCCUUAAAACUGCUAUUUUGAAUUCUUGGUCAGGUAGUUUACAUAUUGCCGUCUCAUUCUGGUCAGUUACUGGUGGUAACUUGCUGUUGUUUCUUGUGGAUCUAUGCCUGUGUUGUUGCAUUGAAAGUUUAGUUAAUUAUUCUAGUCUUUUCUUUAUGGCGUGUUUUGGUUUCUAUUAUGUUUGCUUUGAGAUUUGUUUAUCUGUUGAUUCCCUCUCCUCUCCUCUGCUCUCCUCUCCUCUCCUCUGCUCUGCUCUCCUCUCCUCUCCUCUCCUUUCCUCUCCUUAUUAUUUUUAUGCUAGGUCACUGACUCUUUUUCUGCACUUGAUUGCCCCUUAACCACAGAUUUGCUUUGGUUCUAAUAAACAAUCAGAUUGCCCUAUCCUAAAUGGUGAGGGAUAUUCCAGCAAUAUGGGAAGGUUGGCUAGGGGUUUGUGUUUAGGGGACCUUAGAAACAAAUCUUUUGCAGUGUGGUGCCCCACAACAGCCAUUCUAAUGUGGUACUCUCCUUUGGCUGAAUUACAUAGCAGAGUUUCCAGGGCAAGGAUGGUAGUCCCACCUCCACCUUUGUUUCUAGCUAUUGUCAGGGAUAUUUUUCCCUUCAACUACUCCCAAUACUUCCUGUUGUUUGAGGUAGGGAUAAGUUCUCUGCCAAGAGACCCAAAAUGUGGGAAAGCUGGUUGUCCACCUUGAUUUCACUUUUUCCAGUGUAGAAAUCAUGAGACAUGGGGAAGCCUUCUAUGCCAUCAUUUUGAAACGCAACACGUGAGGUUAUCUAAAAAAUAAAUAAAUAAAUAAAAAUAAAAUCAUGGAAUUUUGUUCAGAAAACUCUUGGUUUUACAAUUCAGUGUAACAUUUCUGGGUAUCAUGAAAAAGGAAGAAACUUUGGGAAAUGGAUAUAGGAGAGCACAGAUACUAUUGUACUAGUGGCUUGGCAUGACCAAGAAGAAAUAUAUUGUGUUGACUCCCAUGAAGCACAAGGUCCAAGAGGAAAAACAUUCAUAGGAGUCAAAUCCAAUCCAAAGGUUGUUAUAUAUGGGCAGUCAGUGAACCCAAUAGAGUAGACAGUCUAAGCAAUGAUAAGAGCAUCCAAAACAUAGGUGUGUCUCUUUAGUAGAUGUGCCUAAGGGAGCCUCUUUUGGUGGCCUGGGACUCCUUUUCCUUAUGUUUAAAGUGAUGUGGUUAGUUACCCAUUAGUGAUUUACCUUAGACUAAAGGUAAAGAGAAUAACUUACAGCAGUAUAUUUCCUUUAACAGGCCACUUCUCUAAUCAGUAACCAUUUUGCUCAUUAUAUACAUUUUUCUUCUCAGUAGAAAUGGGUAAUGAUGAGAACAUUGCAAACCUCUGACUAUUGUUUGAAAACCAAAGAACAAGGCAAUUAACUCAUUCCACUGAGAUUGGGAACAGAAAAAUGUAGAACUGUGACAGUUAAUAUUGAGUGUCAACUUGAUUGGAUUGAAGGAUGCAAAGUAUUAUUCUGGGUGUGUCUGUGAAAGUGUUGUCAAAGGAGAUUAACAUUUGAGUCAGUGGACUGGGAGAGGCAGACCCACCUUCGAUCUGAGUAUGUACCAUCUAAUCAGCUGCCAGUGUAGCUAGAAUAAAAGCAGGCAGAGGACUGUAGAAGGACUAGAUUGGCUGAGUCUUCAUCUGUCUCCCAUGCUGGAUGCUUACUCCCCUCGAACAUGGGACAUCAAGUUCUUCAGCUUUUGGACUUUGGGACUUGCACCAGUGGUUUGCCAGGGGAUCUUGGGCCUUCAGCCACAGACUGAAGCCUGCACUGUUGGCUUCCCUACUUUUGAGGUUUUAGGACUUGGAAUGGCUUCCUGGUUCCUCAGCUUGCAGAUAGCCUGUUGUGAGACUUUACUUUGUGAUCAUAUAGUGAAUAAACCUUAAUAAACUCCCUUUCAUUUAUACGUCUAUCCUAUUAGUGCUGUCCCUCUAGAGAACCCUAAUACAAGAACUAAGAGUAUUUUUUCUGAUUUUUUUAAAUAAUUUCUUGAAAACUGGGAAUGAUAGAUUAACUAAAAAAGAAAGAUCCAUGUUGUUUAGUGAAUUCUAAAUUGUCUACAAUUAAAUUUCUUUAAUUUUUUUAAAACUUUUGGACUCUUUGCUAUAAACUACAUUGUUUUUAACUGAAAAUACUUUCUCCACACAUGUCAAGUUAUAUGGUAGAUCACAGAAAAUGUUUCUAAUCAAAUGUACUUUAAUUAAAUUUAUUUUCUAUUGAAAUGAAUAGAUAGUUUAUAUUUUAUUUCAAAUAUCUUCACAGGCUCUGGUUUUCAUUUUCAUCAAAGUACCACUCUCUUGUCUACUUAAAAUGAUUUUGGAAGCUUUAUGUCAUUUGAGUUUAUGGAUUUAUUUUUACUUUCCUCUUAUUCUGGCACAGAAUAUGAAUUUGUUGAUAUAAAAUUAAGAAUUUCAUUAAAUAUUUUUCACAAGUUGAAAUAUUCCAAACUAAAAUUAUUGGAUUCAAAAUUAAAUGUUUUACACUAUUUGAGCUCAAGUUAUUUAAAUUUUUUGUGUUGCAAGUUAAUGUUUUCUGUGAUAGCAUUUGUUGAAUACUUAUAUUUAACACAUUUAACUCAUUUUGAAUAUGGGGCAACUAUAUUUAGAGGCUAUUUUUAAAAGACAUUCUAGCAAAACACCAAGAAUAGGCAAUUCAAUCUUGAAUGAAAGCAAAAUUAGAAGAUGGACUACCCAACUUUAUGACCUACUAUAAGGGUACAGUGAUCAAGACAGUGUGGUAUUAGUGAAACAAUAUACCGAUACAUUAAUGGAGCAGAGUAGAAAGCCUGGAAAUAGACCCACAUAAAAAGAGUUAACUGAUCUUUGAUAAAGAAACAAAGGCAAUGCAAUGACACAAAGGUGAUCUUUAUAAAAAAAUGGGUAUAGAACACCUGGAAAUUCACAUGCAACAAAUAAAUCUGACUAUAGACCUUAAACCCUUCUCAAAAAAUGUAGGUAACUCAAAAUGGAUCAUAGACCUAAAUGUAAAAUGCAAAACUGUAACACUCUUAGGAAAUAACAUGAAUGAAACCCUAGAUGGCCUUCAGUAUUUUGAUGACCUUUUAGAUCCAAUAUGAAAAACACAAUCCAUGAAAAAUCAAUCGAUAAGCUGAAUUUCAUUAAAACUAAAAACUUUUCUCUGUGAAAAACAAUGACAAGAAAACUAGAAGGUAAGCCACAGAUUGGGAGAAAAUAUUUGCAAAAGGCACUUCUGAAAAAAAGCUGUUAUCCAAAAUAUACAAAGAACUUCUAACAAUUCAGCAAUGAACAAUGAACAGGCUGAUUAAAAGGUGAGCAAAAGACCCAAAAAGACACUUUACCAAAGAAGAUAUACAGAUGUCAAGUAAGCAUAUAAAAAGAUAUUCAACAACAUGUAACAUUAGGGAAUUGCAAAUUAAAACAAUGAGAUACCGCUAUGCAGUUAUAAGAAUGACCAAAACCCAGAAUACUGACGUCAAAUGCUGGAGUGGAUGUGGAGCAAUAGGAACUAUUGUUUAUUCCUGGUGGAAAUGAAAAAUUGUGCAUACACUUUUGAAGAAAAUUUGGUAGUUUCUUACAAAGCCAAACAUACUCUUACCACAGAACCCAAUCAAGCUAUUUAAUAUAUAGCCAAAGGGAUUAAAAAUGUAUGUCCACACAAAAUUUCACACAUAACAUUUAUGGCAGCUUUAUUCACAAUUGCUAAAACUUGAAAGCAACCAAAAUGCCCUUUAGUAGGUGGAUGAAUAAAUAAAUGUCAUAUCUGCAGACAAUGUGAUAUUAUUCAGUACUAAAAACAAAUGAGCUAUCAAGCCAUGAGAAGACACAGAGGAAACUUAAAUGCACAUUACCAUGAAGGAUGCCAGUCUGAAAAGGCUACAUACUAUACCAUUCCAACUAUAUGACAUUCUAGCAAAGGAAAAACAAUAGAGACAUUAAAAAGAUCAGUGGCUGCCAGGGUUUAGGGAGGAGGGAGAGAAAACAGGCAGAGCACAGAUGGUUUUUACAACAAUGAAACUAUUUUCUAUGAUAAUGUAAUAACUAUUUUCUGUGAUAAUGUAAUAGUAGAUACUUGUCAUUAAACAUCUGUCAAAACCUGUAAAAUGUAUAACACUAAGAGUGAACUCUAAUGUAAACUAUGGACUUUGGGUUAAAAUGAUGUGUCAAUGUAGAUUUAUUGACAGUAACCCACAUAACAAUUUGGUGUGGGAUGUUGAUAGUUGGGGAGUUUGAGCAUAUGUGGAGACAGAGGGUUUACAGGAACUCUCUGUACUUUCCAUUCUGAACCUAAAAGGGCUCUAAAAAUUAAAGUUUAUUAAUUUAUAAAGCAAAAGUGAUUCUAAGAUACUAAUAUUUCUUUUAAGUGUAGUUUCCAAAGUCUCAAACAUUUCUAAAAUUUAAUUGGCUAGCAAUGAAGACAGAAAACAUGGACGGUCAUGCUGCAGUACAUUUUUAAUAGACAUCAGUAUACUCACAAAAAUUAUAUUUUAGUUAUAUUAACUGUGUGCAUAUAUGACAAUUUUUUAACUUUGAUAACUGUGGCUUCUAUUUUAAUUUCUGAAAUAUUUAAAAUUCUUUAGAUGAAAUUUUGAGUUGUAUAAUUGUUGCAACAAAAUCUGAGUACUUUGUAAUUUCUACUUCACAAAUUUCUUAAUUUGAUGAGAAUGUCAUUUUUACCAUGAUGCUGUGCUACAUCAAAAUUUAUAUCCAUAUCUUUACCAAAAUAAUUCAUAAUUUUUAAUCCAAUAUUAAACUUUUUAAAUGAAUUUACAUGAAAAAUAAUAUUGGUUGUUUUAUCUUAAACAGAUAAGACUUCCAAAAAAUUUAUCUGAGUCCACAAAUGUGAUAUAAAAAUGAUUAAUUAUUGGAAAUAACUGAUAUUUUAUUCUAAGUACUUAAUGGCACUGAUAUAAAACAAUUACCAUGUAAUUGUGUGGAAAUUUCCUUUAAUGAAAUCAAUGAAUAACCAGUUAUUAUGUCAUUUUAGUAUGUGCACAAAAAUCUUGGAAUAAGAAAGAGCAAAAUUAGCCCACAAAGCAGUUAUUUUAUCUAAAUUGCAGUAUUCACAUGUGUGAUAAAAGUUGAAAACUAUAUAUUAUGCCAGUUAAAUGAUCAAUUGAAACUUGCUUAAAAAUUGGAAAGUCAGUAUUUAUUUUUAAAUUAAUUUUGUACUUACAUUUUUUCAUUCUUCAAUCCUACAAAAAUGGAUUUAGCAGAAUCUAACAAGAAAAAUAAAUGAUUUUAGAUAUAUAGUCACUAUUGGGAACGGGUGCUCAAUGUCGCAAAAUCAGCACUGAGACAAAGGAUCUCUCAGCAAGACUAGUUUACUUUCUGCAGAAAGGGUGCCGCUUGCUAGCAGUCUUGCCAUGAGAGCACACAUGAACAAAGGAGACAGGGUCAUUUAUAACCUGAUGUGUCCACUCUACUGCUGUGUCCGGUUUCCAUUAGCUGGAACAGGACCUCACAUUCUGUACUCAAACCGAUUGGCUAGCAACUUAGAACUUCCCAAAAGAGGCAAAAGCAGAAGAUAACAAAGGAAGAGAGGAAGUAACUUGCGUAAUGCUGAGAGAGGCAAAAACACUUCCAAAUAAGGAAGAGGAAUAGGCUAUGACCUAAUGCUUGGACCACUUCAGUCAUGCCAGGGCAAAUAUCUAGGCUAAAAUAUGGGAGUUAAGAACACAGAGUAUAUUGAUUUCUUUAUUACAGCUAGCAAAUAUUUAAGAAUAUUAACACAGGUGUUUGAGUAAAUUUUGCUUCUAAGAGAGGUUAUUAUCUAUUCUCAGUUGGACUGGGAGGAAAGUCCCUUUGAAGAGGAACCUCUACUUAUUUCAUUUUCUACAGUCACCCUACCAAAAUGGAAAAAAAAGUGUGGCAAAAAUAUUUAGGCUACUUAAUACCUUAAUAUACACUAUGACAGGAAUGCUCAACCUUUAUUUUCUGUAUAUAUUUUGCAUACAAUUAACCUUCUCUUUUUUUUUUGGCAUUUGUCCUUGAUUCCUAAUGACUGAAAUUCACCUGUUUUUUUUGUUGUUGUUGUUUUUUGUUUUUUGACACAGAGUCUCUCUCUGUCACCCAGGCUGGAGUGCAGUGGUGUGAUCUCUGCUCACUGCCAGCUCCACCUCCCGGGUUCAAGCCAUUCUCCUGCCUCAGCUGGGACUACAGGUGCCCACCACCACACUUGGCUAAUUUUUUGUAUUUUUAGUGGAGGUGGUGUUUCACCAUGUUAUCCAGGAUGGUCUCGAUCUCCUGACCUCGUGAUCCACCCGCCUCAGCCUCCCAAAGUGCUGAGAUUACAGGCGUGAGCCACCUCACGUGGCCCAUUCACCUGAUUUCUUUAUGCAUCUUUCAGGUCAGAUCAGAGUCCACAGCUAACUUAGCUCAGAACCAAGUAAAUGGGAGUUAGAGGAACAUCAGAUCCUUCUCUCACUACCAUUCAAGACUGAAGGGAUUUAGCUGUCUCUAGCCACUCAUUUCCAAAUGACUUAGUUUUAUCAGCAAGUACCUUUGCAUACUGCCCUUGAGGGUGUAGGUUUCAAAAUAUUCUAAAAAACAGAAAUAUGAUACCGCUGACUGCCUUUUUGAUUUAACUUUGCAUAAAAGUGUACAUAAAUGCAUAACAUGGUGCUAGAAAAAUGUGGAAGACACUGGAAAUGCAAAGUCGGUGGGAGGUCUAUCUAAUCCUGGGUUAUUGUCAUAAAAAAUUGGUAAUAAUUUAUUAAAAAUUAAAAUUACGGGACAAAUAUUACAUUUUAAGGAACAUUAUAACAGCAGGUGUACAUGAAUACUAUCCUGGGCAAACUGAAACAUACAUUCUCACAUUCCUCAUGUAACCUAAUAGCAUAUGCUGUUUGCUGCAAUGAGAGCUAAAGGAAGAAGCACCACUUGUCUUCUCCAAGUACAGUAUUCUUAUAAUCAGAUUCUACAUAACCAAGUCUAUUUGCAAAGCAUUCCAGAAUUAUUAAUUGAAGAAAUAAACAGUUGGUGUCAGAGAGUAGUUACAAUUAAAUAUUUA
rnacentral:lncRNA from 1 species